CCACCUGCCCUCUGCGGAGAGACUCCAUCCUCGCCUCUAUCAUGGGCAUAUACAUGUCCCUCAUCUGGAAAGGCUCAGCAUGCUAUGCCAGUGCAUCUACAGGCUCAUUGUUAAGUCCCUGACAAGUGUACCAGAUCGUUAUCAAGUAAUAUAAACGGGUAAGCCCGAGUAUCGUUUUCCCAAAGGACUCUUAGGCCUUAACUUUAAUGUAACCUAAUCUUGUAAGACUUGAGAAGAGAAUAAAAUUGGUGGUUAUAUGCAAAGAACAAAAAUAAACAUGCAAUGUAGUUGAUUCAAUUGGUUUUGAGAAACUAUGGAUGAAUGAUGUUGUUGGGGUUUACAAUUUCAUCUUAUCCACUCUCAUAUAUCUACUCUUCUUAUUUACUUCACUUAUUUAUCUAAUUUCCAUGCACACUUUCUUAUUUACCCUUAACCCAAUCCCUUGGUGAAAAGAGCCUAUAAUUAAUUACCGGCUUGCUAUUCCUAGCCUCCCCUAGUAACCAAUAAUGCAAUGCGAUCGGAAGCAACUACAAUUGACCGUCCUACCCCUAUCCCUAGGUGAUAUUGGCAUAAUCAAGGAAUUUCCCACCAGUUCAUGACAUUACCGUAUGUCCCCAUUUCGAUAAAGACAAACAUCCUUUACUGAAUGAGUUAAACAAUAAAAGCAUUGAGCACAUAUGAGAACCCAACAAUUGAUAAACAAGUAUAUGACAAGCAUAUGAAAUAAAUAAGAAUUUGAAUAUAUGAGAG
rnacentral:lncRNA from 1 species